CCUCCUGUUCUUCCUCCUCGUCUCCUUCUUCAAGUAAGGUCUCACUGUGUAGCCCUGAUUGAUCCAGAACUCCCUGCAUGGACCAGGCAACAGAUUGGUCUUGAACACACAGAGAUCCAUAUGCCUGUCUCCCAAGUGCUGAGAUUACAGAGAAAAGGGACACUGAAGAAAAACACUCAAGAGCCCUGGCUCAGGCAAAAUCUGCUCCAGGAUUGCUUCAUUUAGCCAUGCCCCGAGAACCUGGUGACAGACCCCAGGAAGGAUGUCAAAGGCUGCUUUGCCAGAUAUACCAGUCUCCACCUCCAGGCCUUCUCUCCUCCGCACAGUUCAAGAAUACAAAACGAGGGGCUGGAGGAGUGAGUUCUUGCAGAGGAUCCAAGUUUGUUUCCCUGUACUCAGGUCAUGCAGCUCAGAGCUGCCUUGUCUCCACUUCCAGGGGAUUCAGCAUGCUGCUUUAGAUUGCAUAAGCGUCUGAACUCACCAGUGCACAUAUCAACAUACAGACCCAUACACACGUAAAUAAUUAAAAGGAUAUGCAUCUUUUAAACAAGCUUUCAAAAAUAAAGUGUGAUC